rnacentral:rRNA from 1 species
AUACAAAACCAAUGCCCUUCGGGGCUCUCUUGGUGAUUCAUGAUAACUUCUCGAAUCGCACGGCCCCGCGCCGACGAUGGUUCAUUCAAAUUUCUUCCCUAUCAACUUUCGAUGCUACGGUAUUGUCCUAGCAUGGUUG